AGCUGUGUUUUAUGACUGACAGAAGUUGCUGCCACGAGGCAGUCCCUCAUAUAUGAGGUACAGUCCCUGAUAUUCCCAAGUUGUUCGUGGAGAAGUGUCUUUCUAAAGGUAGCGGGGGAGGUGCCCGUUAAUCUGAUGAAACAGAAACAGCCAGGAGCCAGAAGAGCCGUGGGUGUCGCAAGAGCUGGGCACUGCAAAAGAAGCUGCGCUGGCACAGAACAUACCAGAACCAGAAAGCAGAACCCUUCCUUCCGCACUGUCUCCCCAGCGCCCUCUACUGUCAAGAGUUCCACAUCAUGACAGCUGCACAGGAGAAAUAUUUAAAGACCCAGCUAAAUUUUGGCUGAGCAAGGUGAAUUUUUAGCGGAGACUGUACAUCAACCACUGACAGACCUACGCAUUCCUCUCCCCGCUGCGAAUUCUGCGCUCACCCUUUAUAAUCGGAAGGCCCAUGCCCCAGCUGCAUAUGCCUUUUUCACCGAGAAGGUCUAAGACCCAGGCCUGGGACUUUUCUUCCAGCAACCCUAGGAAGAAGCAUUGUGCCCUCCCAAUGUGGCACCAGAUUGUUCCAGAUUACGUUUCAUUGACUCUGAUAUAGUAAACACACGUCAUGGGUUUGUUUCUGAGCCACUUCUGGUGUGAGGUGGCUUUGCCUUUCCAACAGGCGAGCGGUAUCCCACUAUUGGAGGUUGGAGUGACCAACCCCCAUGUACAAUCCGUGUAAAUGGAGAAAAUUCCAAAUACCACAUGAAGGAAGGAAGGCUGACAAGCAGUGGAGGUUGCUGGAGAAGAGAAGGUAGACAGACAACAAACAGUCACAGCACUCAAAGGUGCUGGGAUUACAGGUAUGCACUGCCACACUCAGCGUCAUGCAGUGCUGGGACACAGGUCAAUCUCAGGGACCACCCGAUGUAAUGUCUGUCACUGGGACCCAGAUGUGGAGAGGUUGGCUGGCCAGUGAAUCCCACGGAUCCUCCUUUCUGUACCUUCUCAACCGUGGACUCACAGCUGUGUGCCACCAUACCCAGCAUUUUGCAUGGGUGCUGGGGUUUGAACUCAAGUCUUCAUGCAUGCAAAGAAAGCUCUUUACUGACUGAGCCAUUUACAAAGCCCUUAUUGCUGUUGUUUUCUGAGCUAGGGUCUCUUGUAUCCCAAACUGACAUCCAACGCCACGUCUCCUGCUGAAGAAGACCUCAAGCUUCUCAUUCCCCUCUUUCCCAGGUGCUCUGGCUAUGGGUGAGCACCACCACACAGUGAAAGGGGAAGUUUUUUGAAGAUAGAUCUUUCUAUGUUUUGGAAGUGGACUUUGGAUUUCAGGGGAUGGAAAAAGGAUAAUGUCUUAUCAAGUUUGUGGAUGUGGCAGUGCCAUUUCACUGUGAUGGUCAAGUCUGGGGGAGAGGAAUCCAAAGCUCAUGGGAAUAAUAAAACAAAAGAGUAAUAAAACUAAGGAGUA